rnacentral:rRNA from 1 species
AGUGAACGCUGGCGGUAGGCCUAACACAUGCAAGUCGAACGGCAGCACAGUAAGAGCUUGCUCUUACGGGUGGCGAGUGGCGGACGGGUGAGGAAUACAUCGGAAUCUACUUUUUCGUGGGGGAUAACGUAGGGAAACUUACGCUAAUACCGCAUACGACCUACGGGUGAAAGCAGGGGAUCUUCGGACCUUGCGCGAUUGAAUGAGCCGAUGUCGGAUUAGCUAGUUGGCGGGGUAAAGGCCCACCAAGGCGACGAUCCGUAGCUGGUCUGAGAGGAUGAUCAGCCACACUGGAACUGAGACACGGGCCAGACCCCUACGGGAGGCAGCAGUGGGGAAUAUUGGACAAUGGGCGCAAGCCUGAUCCAGCCAUACCGCGUGGGUGAAGAAGGCCUUCGGGUUGUAAAGCCCUUUUGUUGGGAAAGAAAAGCAGCAGGUUAAUACCCCGCUGUUCUGACGGUACCCAAAGAAUAAGCACCGGCUAACUUCGU